rnacentral:rRNA from 1 species
UACGUAGGGGGCGAGCGUUGUCCGGAGUUACUGGGCGUAAAGGGCGCGCAGGCGGUCUGGUAAGUUUGGAGUGACAGUGCUCGGCUUAACUGAGCAAGGCCUUCGAAAACUAUCAGACUUGAGCACUCAAGAGGGACAUAGAAUUCCGGGUGGAGUGGUGAAACGCGUAGAUAUCCGGAGGAAUACCAAAGGCGAAGGCAGUGUCCUGGGGAGUGUCUGACGCUCAGGCGCGAAAGCGUGGGGAGCAAACAGG